UGAUGUGAAAUCCUAUGGCUCAACCAUAGAACUGCAUUGGAAACUGUCAAACUAGAAUACUGAAGGGGCAGAUGGAAUUAGUGGUGUAGGGGUAAAAUCCGUAGAUAUCACUAGGAAUACCGAAAGCGAAAGCGAUCUGCUGGGAAGUUAUUGACGCUGAGGCACGAAAGCGUGGGGAGCAAACGGGAUUAGAUACCCCGGUAGUCCACGCCCUAAACGAUGAAUGCUAGUCGUCGGAAAGCUCGUCUCUUCGGUGAUGCAGUUAACACAUUAAGCAUUCCGCCUGGGGAGUACGGUCGCAAGAUUAAAACUCAAAGGAAUAGACGGGGACCCGCACAAGUGGUGGAGCAUGUGGUUUAAUUCGAAGAUACGCGAAGAACCUUACCUAGCCUUGACAUUGAUUGAAUCUUUCAGAGAUGAGAGAGUGCCUUUCGAGGGACAUGAAAACAGGUGCUGCACGGCUGUCGUCAGCUCGUGUCGUGAGAUGUUGGGUUAAGUCCCGCAACGAGCGCAACCCUCGUCGUUAGUUGCUAACAGUUCGGCUGAGCACUCUAGCGAGACUGCCUUCGCAAGGAGGAGGAAGGUGAGGACGACGUCAAGUCAUCAUGGCCCUUAUGGCUAGGGCUACACACGUGCUACAAUGGGGCGUACAGAGAGUUGCGAUACCGCGAGGUGGAGCUAAUCUCAUAAAGCGUCUCUCAGUUCGGAUUGAUCUCUGCAACUCGAGAUCAUGAAGCUGGAAUCACUAGUAAUCGUAGAUCAGCAAUGCUACGGUGAAUACGUUCCCGGGUCUUGUACUCACCGCCCGUCACACCAUGGGAGUUGAUUUCACCCGAAAUCGGGAAGCAAACCUUCGGGAUGCUACCGCUUACGG
rnacentral:rRNA from 1 species